GAUGAACGCUGGCGGCGUGCUUAACACAUGCAAGUCGAACGGUGAAGCAGGAGCUUGCUCCUGUGGAUCAGUGGCGAACGGGUGAGUAACACGUGAGCAAUCUGCCCUGGACUCUGGGAUAAGCGUUGGAAACGACGUCUAAUACCGGAUACGAGACGCGAAGGCAUCUUCAGCGUCUGGAAAGAACUUCGGUCCAGGAUGAGCUCGCGGCCUAUCAGCUAGUUGGUGAGGUAACGGCUCACCAAGGCGACGACGGGUAGCCGGCCUGAGAGGGUGACCGGCCACACUGGGACUGAGACACGGCCCAGACUCCUACGGGAGGCAGCAGUGGGGAAUAUUGCACAAUGGGCGCAAGCCUGAUGCAGCAACGCCGCGUGAGGGACGACGGCCUUCGGGUUGUAAACCUCUUUUAGCAGGGAAGAAGCGAAAGUGACGGUACCUGCAGAAAAAGCACCGGCUAACUACGUGCCAGCAGCCGCCGUAACAC
rnacentral:rRNA from 1 species